GCACCUUCUCCAUCUGUCAUUGAAGCAGUCUCAGAAGCUUGAUAAUCCUUGUCCCUGU
rnacentral:sRNA from 1 species